AGUGAACGCUGGCGGUAGGCCUAACACAUGCAAGUCGAACGGCAGCACAGUAAGAGCUUGCUCUUACGGGUGGCGAGUGGCGGACGGGUGAGGAAUACAUCGGAAUCUACUUUUUCGUGGGGGAUAACGUAGGGAAACUUACGCUAAUACCGCAUACGACCUACGGGUGAAAGCAGGGGAUCUUCGGACCUUGCGCGAUUGAAUGAGCCGAUGUCGGAUUAGCUAGUUGGCGGGGUAAAGGCCCACCAAGGCGACGAUCCGUAGCUGGUCUGAGAGGAUGAUCAGCCACACUGGAACUGAGACACGGUCCAGACUCCUACGGGAGGCAGCAGUGGGGACUAUUGGACAAUGGGCGCAAGCCUGCUCCAGCCAUACCGCGUGGGUGAAGAAGGCCUUCGGGUUGUAAAGCCCUUUGUUGGGAAAGAAAAGCAGCAGGUUAAUACCCCGCUGUUCUGACGGUACCCAAAGAAUAAGCACCGGCUAACUUCGUG
rnacentral:rRNA from 1 species